CAAUGGCUGCACCUUAAGCAUGUGGAAGUUCCCAGGCUAGAGGUCGAGUAGGAGCUCCAGCUGCUGGCCUAUGCCACAUCCACAACAACACGGGAUCUGAACUGCCUCUGUGACCUACACCAUAGCUCAUGACAAUGCUGGAUCCUCAACCUACUGAGAGGGGCCAGGGAUCGAACUGCAUCCUCAUGGCUUCUAGUCGGGUUCGUAACCACUGAGCCACAACUCGAAUUCCAGAUGCAGCAGUUUAUAAAAUCCUGGGAGUUCCCGUCGUGGCGCAGUGGUUAACGAAUCCGACUAGGAACCAUGAGGUUGCGGGUUCAGUCCCUGCCCUUGCUCAGUGGGUUAAGGAUCCAGCGUUGCCGUGAGCUGUGGUGUAGGUUGCAGACGCGGCUCGGAUCCCGUGUUGCUGUGGCUCUGGCGUAGGCCAGUGGCUACAGCUCUGAUUAGACCCCUAGCCUGGGAACCUCCAUAUGCUGCGGGAGCGGCCCAAAGAAAUAGCAAAAAAGCCAAAAAAAGCCAAAAAAAAAAAAAAAAGAAAGAAAAAAGAAAUCCUAAAGCAGGGUCAGAUUCAGAUACAAGAACCUAAAAAAAGGCCUAUUACUAGGACCAGUCACAAAGACCAAGGUGAAAGUCUAUUCCUUAGGGUGAGAAUUAGCUCAAGGAAGACUAAUUCAAUGAUCAGCCAUCAAGCAGCACAACUAGGGGCUCUUGGAUUUCCUUGUUCAUGGCCUGUAUCAGCCCAGGACCUGUUACAAGGGUUAGUCUGCCCAGGGAGCUAAGUGGCCCUGCUGAAAGGACUAGAAAAGACCUAUCUGACCCAACUUCUCAUCCCCUAUUUGAAUUCUUUCAGAUAUAAACCUCAGGAUGUUAUCACAGAGAUGAUAAUGGUUCUUCUCAGUAGUUAUAUUGAUGGCAGCCAGCUGUGAAAAAGGAUGGUUCCUAAAGAGAAUAGCUCCCUGAGGUGAGCAAGGAGCAACUGGAUUCCAGAGCCAACAGCAAGUUGUCUUCACUCCUAAGAAAUUCUGAAAUGUCACAGUUUAUGGUAGAGAACCUGGGUGUCCUCUGUUUGAUUCUACUUUUCUUUAAAAUAGCGGAUCACUUUUUCAGUGAAAAAAUAAGUAAUUUUUAGCUCACUAUUGGAUGAACCUAUAAAUCCUUUCUUUCAUACUUAGAGAUUGAAAGCAUCUCUAAGUAGAAGCAUAUGUGAAUUCCUCUAUUCCCUUAACGAAACCCUUUCAGCAAGCAGGCAAGAAGCAGCUAGUAAUCACUAACUGAGGGAUUACUAAUCUGACAGAUUACACUCUAGGGGUAUGAGAAGUGAGUGAACAAUUGGGAGGACUAUCAAAGCCAAUACCUGAGAAAAUCACAAGAAAGGCAGGACUGAAUAGACUUAGCAGAGGCUGUUGUGAGAAGGCCGACCCUUUGUCAAGUUCAUCUGCCCUUUCGUUACUUACCACUGGCUGUCUCACUCCUGGAUCUAUGUGACUCCCUUGGCUCUCCUGCCUCAGCCAUAUGGGAUAUUCCAUACUCAUCCUAUUCGCCCACAAAGAAAUACUCUCAAAAUCAAUUGGGUGGUGAUUAUGAGCCCAUUAUGUGUCUGCUGUGCUAAAAAGAAUAUAAGGCAAUUCGGAGAAAACCUUUCAUAUGGGCUUUAAAAAAAAAUUCCAGUAUAUCUAGGAGUAGUCUCACUUCAACAUUGAAAAAUCAAAGUCAAGCUACAGUCCUUUCAUAAUAUUGGCUUGUUUUGCUUAUGCAGGUGUUAUAUUUCUAAAGUAAAUGCCAUAAGAAAUACGAAAGGUCCAUUCUUGAUCUGAAGGGAAGAAAAAAGAAAAGAGAAUCAUUUCAAUAGUGGAACAAAUGGACUCAGAUUCAAGAUCUGAAUAGAUUUAACAUUUUCUUGCUUUGCUCUGUGGAGGGGCCUAUUGCUCUACCUUCAAUAGUUUCCUAAAUGUUACUCCCCAGGAUCUCUGUCCACUUAACUGAGAUUUAGAAUUAUGGAUGUAGAAUAUAGAAGAUGGCUAAAAUUCAACUCCUUAAUUGAGGAAACUGAAGCCUAGAAAGAGAAUAGAAUUUCCAAAACUAAGAAUAAAACUUCCCAAAACAAGACUAAAAGUUCCAUCUCUCGAUUCCCAGCCCAGUGCUGUUUUCACUCUGCUGCCCUUCUUGAUGUUACUUUUUUUAAGUUUUGAAUAUUUCUCAAACCUAUUGGGACCAAAGCUUUCCAAUAUUCUCCUUUAAUAGUUGUAUAUCAUCUACUUCCCAUUUCUGGCUGUUAUCUUUAUGAGGGAGAGAAGUUGCAAAACAUGGAGAAUAUUCUGAUAAUUACUCAGUACAAAGAACUAGGAAUAAUUUAUUGGAAUUAAUAUCAUGGGAUCAUGAAUUACUUAGAUAAAAUUAAUUUAUGAUGAUCAAUAAUAUCUGAAAAAGAGGAGAAGGAACAUCAAGUGGAGUGAAAACUCACUAAAAUAUUAAUAAUAUAAUUGGUCUAGGUGCUAUUUAAAAGAGCAACUUAGAUAUACUCUUUGAACCUUGGAUUUUAGGGAAGUGGCAUAACAUAGCAGAAGGAAAACCAUCUUGAAAUUAAGAAAAUUAAGGUGAUCAUCCUGAUUAUACUGUUAUACCAGCUGCAUGAUCUUGGGUAAAUCACUUGAACUUUCCCAAACUUAAUUUCAUUAUGCGUUAAAUGUAAAUAGAAAUUUUGGCUAUCCUAAAGGGUUGUUAAAAGGAUCAAACCAAAUAAUGUAUGAGAGCAUUAUAAUUCAAAGAUCAGAAACUUAUAUGCACUAUGAUAGCAGAGGACCGUGUUAUAUUCAACAGUGUAUUCCUAGUGUAUUCCUAGUAAGUUCCUCAGAGCAGGGUGCUGCACAUAGCAAACACAAUAAAAAUGUAUUAAAUAAAUGAAGGCAACAACAGGGAAAAUUUCAUCCUUAUCACUAUUUUCUCACUGGAAAAAUAUUAUGGGGGGGAUAAAGCAAAGUAUCAGAGAGGAAAAGAGAGGCAAAAAAGAAGGAAAGAAUGACUGGUGUCACUUCUUUCCUAAAACAAAAGCACAUGUGGUAAAAUCAAAGAAAGGAUGAUUAAAUUGAACAAUUCUCAAAUUUACCCUUUUUCUUUCCCCACCACAUUCAUCUCACCUCUCAAUUCAUGAAAAUUAACUUUUCCCACCAUUAACUUUUUUAACUUUUGGCAUCCACCUCUUUAAUUUUGAUCAUUUUAAGCCAUCACAUUCAGUGUUUUUUAUUACGAUCUAUACAUGUCCUCCCUUUGGUCAUUAGGAACAGUGCUGUUUUAAAUUUGUAUUUGAUGUAACUAAUUCAGAGUCCUCCCUCCUUUUUCUUUUCUCUUAGCCUUCCUCAAAAGCCACAGUGGCCAAGGAGAAAGAGAGCCAACUGCUGUCUUGAGAGGAAAAUCAGUUCAGUUCUUUUCUUUCUGCUUCAAGCUCUGAAUGAUUCUAGUUAAAAGUCCUAUGGGGUAGGUGUCUGUUUGAUAUAUUGAAAAUACAUAUCCCUCUGAAUUACCCUUCUUCAAUUUUAUGGAUGUGUUUCAUUACACAUGUAGGAAUUUCACAAAAAUUCUUUUUUCCUCUGCCACAGAGGUCAGGGUUUUACAGGUCUUUGGGGAACAGAAAACUCGUCCAAAUGUCAGCUCAACUGAAGAACCACGUUUCCCCACUGGAACACUACGUUCCUGGUACUUGGCAGACUCUGGGAACACCCAAAACCAUAUGUAUUUGAGAGGAAGCAGACAGGUCACAAAAUUAAAUCAGUCUAGUCUAGCUAAAUACUCUCAACCUACUUCUAAUGAGUUUGAAUUAAUUGGUAGCCUCAUCCUCCCCUAGUCACACUUAUUACAGCCAAUCCAAAUUGGCUUUAACUGGAUUUAGAUAAAAUUCACCUACUUUUUGCUUUUACAAAUACAACUGACAGAAACAAAGAAAAACAUUUCUAUCUUUAAAGAGAAAUGUAGUUAUAAGACUUUGGACCCGAUGCUUACAGAAGACUAAUGAGAUAAUGUCUAAAAUGUGUUGGAGCUGCAUGUAUAAAAGGCUCCAUGGAGAUAGAAAAUAUGAUGCAAGAAGCCUCUGUAUCAGGAUAUUUCUUGUCUUCUCGAGACUUAAUAAGUAUUAUAUAAGUAUUUUACAAACAUGUACCUGCUAAUCUCAUCUGUCAACUCUAGCUCAGGUAGGUUGAAAACUCUAUUUUCUAUUAUAAAAUAAGAAUCUUGGUUUCUGAUAAAAGAUUUUCCAAGAAAAUUCAAACAGGGACCAUGGUUAUUAGGCAGUGUCUUUAUUUUAAGACAAGCUUCCAACUUCAAUUUCAGCUCUUGGUCAAUCUUAUCAAUGUGAAAGCACUAAUCCUAGCCACCUCCAACUUUCCACUCAAUUCAAGCCAAAUGCAUCCCUAUAGGAUUCUCUUACUAAACUGAGAAAAAUCACAAAGCAUAUCCUCUUUGGGAUUCUUGCACCAUCAAAAUACACUCAACAAAUAAUAUUCUCAACAGUGACAACAUAAUGGACUUCAAUAACUUGAGAGCACAACUCAAUUAUCUACAAGCCUUCGUGGAAGUCCUUUUGUUUAAAAGUACACAAAACCUUUAUUUCUUCCUAACAUCUUUUAUUCCUAACAAUGAUAAAUAAAUUAAUUUUUGUGAAGUCUACGAAAUAACAAAUGAGAGACAAAAUUUAGCAAAGAGUUUUCUAAUCCCAUCAAAAACACUUCAGAAACAUUUGGCAUAUGAUCUUCUCAUAAGUUCCUAAAUACCAUAAAUCUCCCAUUUGUUUGUUUAAAAUCAGUAUCACUUCAUUUUUCAGAACUUUACUUGAAAAUAAGUUAUUACCUCUUUGAACUCAUCCAAUCUUAAAAGUUUUCUAGAAUCAAGUCACAAAAUGCAUAUUAGAAAAAUCACAAAAGUCUCAGAACUGGGAAGAAUUUUGAUAUAUGACCUGAAUUAGCCCUCGCCUAUAGAAAGAGAAUUUAGUUAAUAAGUAUUAAAACUGUUGAUCUGUGUAUGAUGGGCCAUGCUUGACCUUUGGGGAUAUAUACAAAGUGAUAACUCCCUCACCUCAAAGGAAUUUACUGUCCAGUAAUGCAUUCCCUACAGUGAUCACUUGAGAGAGAAGGUAUGAUUCCAAAAAUGUCCAUUUUUGAGGGAGAGUUUCCAGGCUCUACCUCAGUUACUGAUUCAGAAAUUCUAGAGAUUCACCUAGGAAUCUGCAUUUUAAAAAGCAUCCCAGGUAAUUCUCAUGCAUAAUAACAUUUGAUAACCACUGCUCUGGCAGGUCUGAGAUAUGUGCACAAAAUAAUAUUAACAUCAAUCAGAGAAGCACUGAAUAUGGGCUAAUGUGGGCUAUUUUCUGGAGACAUAAAAAAAGAUUGGAUCAGCAUCUUCCCUCAUUGAUGCCAGAUAAUGAUCAGAAAACUCUUAAGUUAUCUCUUAGCCCCUAUUCAGUCUUCUAAAUUAUAUUCACCCCUAAGUUAGAGUCUGAGCUAUCAAUGUUAUAAUAAGAACCCUUAGUGUAGAAACUUUAAAAAAUCAAUUGACACAACACUGGAAAUCAACAACACUUUAACAAAAUUUUUUAAAAAUAAAAAAAAAUCUCUAGUCAGCCACCAUUCUCCUUAAAAUGCCUAAUACAUUUGACAUUUAGUUUGGUUUCAUUUAGCUCUUUAACCACACAUUUUCUUCCCAUGAAGAGUAGUGUUUGUAAGGGAUAGUAAUUUUCAUAAGUUUCUCCUUUGACAAAUACAAAAAACUAAUAAACAUAAAGAAAAGUUGAAUUCAGAAACACGUGAGAUAUUUGGACUUUAAGCUACUAGUAGAAUUAAUUGGCACAGAUUCUGUAUAUGAUCUAGCACUUUAUGUACAGAAAAGUCACCUAGGAAGUGGUUAUAAAUGCAGACUAUAGAAUAGUUUGACUUGGUAAAAGUAAGAUAGGCAACUGAAUUUUGAAAAUGCACCCGAGCUGAUUUUGAUGUGAAUGGUUUUGAGAAAAUAUUCCAAGGAUUUCAAGAUCUCAAGAAGACAAGCUCGGAGUUCCCAUCGUGGUGCAGCGAAAAUGAAUCCGACUAUGAACCAUAAGGUUGUGGGUUCGAUCCCUAGCCUUGCUCAGUGGGUUAAGGAUCUGGCAUUGCCGUGAGCUGUGGUGGAGGUCGCAGAUGCGGCUUGGAUCUGGCGUUGUUGUGGCUGUGGUGUAGGCUGGCAGCAACAGCCCUGGUUCAACCCCUAGCCUGGGAACCUCCAAAUGUCGUGAAUGUGGCCCUAUAAAGACAAAAGACAAAAAAAAAAAAAAAAAAAAAAAAAAAAAAAAAAAAAA
rnacentral:lncRNA from 1 species